rnacentral:rRNA from 1 species
AGAGUUUGAUCCUGGCUCAGCGCGAACGCUGGCGGCAUGCCUAACACAUGCAAGUCGUACGGAGAGUGGGGCAACUCACUCUCAGUGGCAAACGGGUGAGUAACGCGUGAAUAACCUGCCUUUGAGAAGGGGAUAACUGUCCGAAAGGAUAGCUAAUACCCUAUAUUGCCUUUUGUCACUAAGGCAAAAGGUGAAAGCGAGGCUGUCAAAGGCUUCGGCUCAAAGAGGGGUUCGCGUCCUAUCAGGUAGUUGGUGGGGUAAUGGCCUACCAAGCCAAUGACGGGUAGCUGGUCUUAGAGGAUGAUCAGCCACAGUGGGACUGAGACACGGCCCGCACCCCUACGGGGGGCAGCAGUGGGGAAUCGUGGGCAAUGGGCGCAAGCCUGACCCCGCAAUGCCGCGUGAGGGAAGAAGCCCUUCGGGGUGUAAACCUCUGUCAGAUGGGAAGAUGGGACUAGGGGCUAAUACCUCCUGGUCUUGACGGUACCAUCAGAGGAAGGGACGGCUAACUACGUGCCAGCAGCCGCGGUAAUACGUAGGUCCCGAGCGUUGCGCGAUGUUACUGGGCGUAAAGCGUCCGUAGCUGGUUUCGUAAGCGGAUUGUCAAAGCCCGAAGCUCAACUUCGGCAAGGCAUUCCGAACUGCGUUAC